rnacentral:rRNA from 1 species
GAUGAACGCUGGCGGCGUGCCUAAUACAUGCAAGUCGAGCGAACAGAUGAGGAGCUUGCUCCUCUGACGUUAGCGGCGGACGGGUGAGUAACACGUGGAUAACCUACCUAUAAGACUGGGAUAACUUCGGGAAACCGGAGCUAAUACCGGAUAAUAUAUUGAACCGCAUGGUUCAAUAGUGAAAGACGGUUUUGCUGUCACUUAUAGAUGGAUCCGCGCCGCAUUAGCUAGUUGGUAAGGUAACGGCUUACCAAGGCAGCGAUGCGUAGCCGACCUGAGAGGGUGAUCGGCCACACUGGAACUGAGACACGGUCCACACUCCUACGGGAGGCAGCAGUAGGGAAUCUUCCGCAAUGGGCGAAAGCCUGACGGAGCAACGCCGCGUGAGUGAUGAAGGUCUUCGGAUCGUAAAACUCUGUUAUUAGGGAAGAACAAAUGUGUAAGUAACUAUGCACGUCUUGACGGUACCUAAUCAGAAAGCCACGGCUAACUACGUG